UAAUAAGUGUUUUAUGGCACUUUUUUAAAUCCAUAUCCACCUUGUGUGCAAUGUCAGUCGAUCUUCUUCAUGGAGAUCGACCAAACAUCAACCUUUAUCUUUUAACCUCUUUGUCUGAAAAAUAUUAUGAAUAAACAAUUCAAAAUA
rnacentral:misc_RNA from 1 species